UACGUAGGGGGCGAGCGUUGUCCGGAAUUACUGGGCGUAAAGCGCAUGUAGGCGGCUUGUUAAGUCAGGUGUGAAAACUGUCGGCUCAACCGGGAGAGUGCACAUGAAACUGGCAGGCUUGAGGGCAAGAGAGGAGAGCGGAAUUCCUAGUGUAGCGGUGAAAUGCGUAGAUAUUAGGAGGAACACCAGUGGCGAAGGCGGCUCUCUGGACUGAACCUGACGCUGAGGUGCGAAAGCUAGGGGAGCGAACGGG
rnacentral:rRNA from 1 species